rnacentral:misc_RNA from 1 species
AAACUUUUCCAUCCAUGAAAUCUGCAUGUAAAUCAAAGGUAAAUUGCUUAUCAGGUCUAAUAGGAAAACAGAAACCAAAACAAAAAUAUCCAAGAAGUAAUAUGGGGAUCCAAUGCUUAAACCAAGAAGCAAUAGAAAAAUUUCAGUCAUCUAAGGAAUUGUCAAUAGAUUUUAAUUUCUAACUUACACGUACUGCAAAUUUCGAAAAAAAAAA